UCUUCCUUUAGUACCUUUAAACUGUAAAGUAUAAAAGUUGAUCGUGCAGCCACCACAUAGGGCUGGUCCAAGUCCCAGUGGUAACUCUUACUUUUCCACUAACAAGCUUCCCUUUUACAGUGAAACAUCUCCAUUCACAGCACCAAGAGGAUCUCCAGACACCAAAACCAAAACUCUUGUAAUCUACCAACUUCUUCCUCUUUAUCGUACACUACUCAUCCACAACCAAGUCCUACUCAUAAUAUCUUGAUCUCUAUCCCCACUGCCGUCACUCAUUUCCAGUCCCUUUAUAUUUGACUGGCUGAAAAUUACCCGGUCAGUCUUUACUUCUUCUAAUCUCAAAUGUCUUUGUCCACCAAGUACUGUGUACAACAAUGUGGUAGUCACAGAAAUAAAUAUGUUGGAGAGACCAUGUUAGCACAUACUUUUAAAUGAUACAAGUAAUGACAUAAUACUUCCAGUGGAUAUUUUGGAAUCCAUAAACAAGAGGAAGCAAUGAGAUUAGAGGUAUCGAAGCCAGACAGGAGAUAAACAUUGAGGGAUAAUACAAAUUGUUUAGACAAAAGAGACAGGAAAAAAAUAGGGGAAGAGGGCACUCCAGAUUGAAGGACAUCAUAAGGAAGAGUGAGAGGAAAAAUGAUCAUCUUGACUGUUUGGGGAUGUAAAGCAGAGAGAAUUAAUCACAUCUCAGGAUGCAUCCGGGAAGUAUCAGAAGGUCCUUGUUAGGAUGGCAGCUGUUUUGUCGAUGGAUACAAAUGAGCUGUUGAAGACCUGCAUCCAAGGUACUCUGGAAACACCAGUAACGCUAAGUGCUCCUUCUACUGGACACAGAUGGAAUCUCAGCGAGAAAAGACAUUCAUGAAACUACCAAGGUAAUAUAAAAUUACUUACAAUGUGUGCUGCAGAAGGGAAUUUUAGCUAUCACACGAAAGAAUUCAGAGCAAAAUAUUGCAUCUUUGUUCAUUAUAAAAACAAAAACAAACAAAAAUAAAGCCUCC
rnacentral:lncRNA from 12 species